ACGUCGCAGCACCAUGCAACCAUGCAAAGGUUUCCGCCUUCCUCAUUAAAACAAACGAGACGGAUCCCCCGCUCAAAGACGAGAAGGAUCCCGUCACCGCCUCUCCUCGUCCGCCCCCGCCCUCCUCCCUCCGCCUUCUUCGCUUCCUCCGCUCCCACACCCGCCAUCGCUUCUCCGAGACCGAUCUCUCGUCACCCUCAAGGUCUUCUCCGCGCCCUCGCGACUUUCCAGUCACUUCCGUCCAUCUUCCGCUGCAAGCCUGGUGUUCGCUCCCACAACGCCCUCCUCGACGCCUUCGUCCGGGGCCGCCACUGGGACCAGGCCGAGUCCUUCUUCGCCUUAUUCCAUAGCCACGCGCGCGUUUCUUCUAACCUCCAGAGCUACAACAUUCUCACCCGAGGCCUCUGUGACCGGAGGCUGCUUGAUCCAGCGACUUGGACGACGCCCUCAAACUGUUCGACGAAAUGUGCGAUAAAAAUGUGACGCCCGAUGUGAUGUUCUAUAAUUUUCUGAUUACUAGGGUUUUUGAAGAAAGGCGAGUUCUUGAAGGGAAUGGAGAUCAGGGAGAGGCUGGUGAGGGACAGCACAGUCAGUCCAAAUGUUGCCAUGUAUACCGUCAUGCUGGUGAGGGCUCAUUCACUUGUGGAGUUUUGAUUCAUGGCCUGUUGGAGUCAGGGAAUGUGGAGGGGGCCUCGCCCCUCUAUGCAGAGAUGAUCAAGACAGGAUUUGGCUGUCACGUGUAACUCUCUGCUAAAUGGGCUCCGCAAAGCAGGGAGGCUACAGGAGUUGUUGACGCUCUGGGAGUCGAUGGGAAGGCAGGGAAUUGCCAAAAUUGUCAGUUACAGCACAUCGAUCAGGAGACUGCAUGAGAAUGACAAAGCAGAUGAAGCAGUUUCUCUUUGGGAAGCUUUCAGGGGGCUAAUGCAUGCCCUCCAGACCUGGUAACUUAUGGUGUUUUGAUUCCUGAAUUGUGCAAAAAGGGUUAUAUCAACAAAGCAUUGCGGAUUUUGAAGGAGGCAUAAUAAGAUGGAGAGAAAAACUUAGAUGACUUCAUGUUCUCCUCAAUAAUUAACAGAUUGUGCAAAGAUGGGGGAUUGGAUGAAGCAAUUUGCAUUUGUGAUCAAAUGGCUAAACAUGGCUGCCGAUCAAAUUCUCAUACAUAAAAUGCACUGAUCAGUGGUUUCUGUCGAGCAUCUAAGAUUGUUGACACCAUCCAGGUUUUCAAGGGGAUGGUCAGCAAUAGUUGCACUCCUACUAUUGUAACAUACUUCACACUUACAGAUUGAUAGUGUAAAGUGGUGAGGUUCCGGGAGGCUUCUAGCUUAGCAAGAGAAAUGAUGGAAAAAGUUUUCAAACCUGACGUGGUGACAUACAGCUGUUUAAUGGAUGGACAAGAUUGAUGUUGCUCUUGACAUUUGGAACCAAGUUCUUGACAAUGGUUUCCAAGCCGGUGUCAUCAUGCACAACAUUCUUUCAAUGGCCUUUGCUCUACAGGGAAAGUGGAAGAAGCCCUGCAUGUUUGCUUGGAGAUGAAACAGAAAAAGUGCACUUAAAAUCUAGUGAGACACAACGUGCUUAUGGAUGGACUUUAUCGAGUUGGUGACUGUGAAAGGGCAUCAGAUGUACAGGUCCAGAUGUUAGAGGCUGGAUUGGAACCAGAUAUCAUUUCUUAUGACAUAAUGUUUAAAGGUCUUUGUUCUUAUAAUAAGAUAUCCAAAACAGUCAAGUUAUUGGAUGAUGCCUUGUGUUGUGGCAUUAUUCCAACUUCCAUUACCUGGUGUAUACUAGGUAAGGCAAUCAUCGGCAGCUGACCAGUUCCAACAUGAUCACUACGAAGAUCUAGUGCAAGAAACACUUUAGUGUGGCAUUGUGUUCUUUGCAUGCAUGUUGUGCUAAUACUCUGGGACUUCGUGAUUGAAAAUUGCUGAUAAUACGGACCAGGAAGAUAACUGAUUAUUUGAAGGACAUUAUAUCCUUUUAAGCACCGAAGGUAUGUUUACUUUGAAAUCUUAUGUGUCAUUUUGUGGAGUUAUUUUACAAAAUCCGCAAUCGAAAUGGGCUCAUGUUGAAGGCUUUGCUUGUUAACUACUUGUCCAUUUUUGUGGAACACAACAAUUUCUCAUGUUAUGAGUUUCCUGCACAGAUUGAUAUUCGUCCUUAAGUUUGUUAAUGCUACUUGGUCGUAUUGUUUUUGGGCUGUAUUUUCAUCUGUUUGGUUCCUUAGGAUGUGUUAUCUAGCUUUUACUUGUGAUAUGAGUACUAUUUUGCAAUGCGUGUGGGAAGGAGCGCAGAGGUGCUGCUAUGUGUUGUGUGCUUGUGUGCAUGUGCAUAUUCCUGUACGCUUGCUGGCUGCAAGAUAGAAAAAGUCUUGAAAAGCUAGAUUAAAAAUGAAAGGAGAAAAUAAGUAACAUUAUGCUUCUCUCUCUCUAGUACAAGGUAUUCCUAUCAUUUCAUUCACACGGAGAUCUUUGUUGUCAUCGGUAGCCCUGUGGGGAAUUUGACCUGCUCAGAAUCUCAAAGUUGGUGUCAAGUCUUAAGAGAACCAAGUAGUUGAAUGACAGGCUGAUAACAGGUAAAUGGUAUGGGGACUCUGGAUGAUUCACUGGUCUCAAUUAAGAGCUCAGGACUAUUCAUUCGGUAGGGUAUGGUUCAUAUACGUCUCUUUCACAUCAGCAAAUAGCAUAGUAGACGUGCUAGUUAGAAUUGAGGUGUGAAGACACUUAUUUGUGUAGCUCAUUGUCAGAUCUUUAACGCCCAUGCACCUUUUUUUUUUUUGCUAAACAGUAUCAUCCCUCUCAUUUGUCAGAAGUAAUCAAACUCAGCCAUCAUAGACUAAAGAGCAUAAGCCUAAGCAGUGGAAAUAAUCUAUAAUUUGCAUCUCAACCUCUGUUUGAAAAUAUAGGAUGCAGUGGGGUCAUGACUCCAGAUUGAUUGCAGUUGGGGGGCGUCGCACCUUUGACAUGACAACUAUAGGAGCGGAACUCAGGAUAGUAUGGGAGGGCAUUAUCUACGUUAAACAGGUGUUAGGGGCGGAUUGUAUCUCCCUUGAAGGGGACUCAACCACGGUCAUCGAUUGGAUUCGGAAUGUGGAUUGGCGAGGGGGCGGACAUCCGCUGAUCAGUGACAUUCACAGGAUGGUGAGAGGCUGUGAUUCAUUUUAGGCCAUACAUGUGUUCCAUGAGGCGAACAAGGCGGCGGACUGGAUCGUCUUCUUUGCUGCUCAACACUUGGGAGAGGUUCUCUGGACAUGUUAUACCGCAUCGGGUGUCUUAGUUACUCAAUUUUGGCAAUGGAGAAUAUUGCCAAAAUUUUAUCUUGAUGCAAAAGCAAGGCUAGCUUGUGUGUAUCAAACCUCAGUUGUAAGAAUUGGACGUGGUUAUUUGUCUUUGUCUUUCUUAGGACGAUUUGAUUAUAGAAAUUUGGGAAUUUUGCAAAAACAAGCUUCUUUAUUUUUUUCUUUUUCUUUUUCUUUUUUUUUUGAGGAUAAAGGAGACUAAUGGGCAGUAAGCCGCAUUAGUCUCCUGAAAUUUUAUUAAUGAAGAAGAGAAGUUUUAGAUACAUCCAGGAUGACUGAAGAGGGAAUUUACAGUAAAAAAGAAGAAGGAAUAUAUCCAAUCGAGCUACAGAGCUGUCAUCAAGAAAGCUUAAAACAAUAAGCAUGGUAAAGAGCAGAAGGAGAAAAAGAAAGACGCAGGCUCAGGAGAAGCCUGACAAAGUAGCUCAUACAGCAUAGUAAGAUCCUGGGAUCAUCCCAUUGCUUGAGAUUCCAUGAUCUCCUUUUGUGAGAACUGAACCAAAGGAAGAGCAGAAUAGCAGGGCUUUAUCUCAUUAAAAGAGUCACACAUAGCCAGAAACCAGCAGCGGCAGAAAGAAGGCAUCAUCCAUGCUCAUCUGAAGAGGAAACACCUAAUUCUCUAAUCUUCUUCAAACGUUUCCACAGCUUGCCAAAACCAAGAAGGGUGUUAUGAUCAAAGAGAAUAGACCAGCUGUUAACCAAACUGAUAGCAGCGAAGACGAUGGAUGAAGAGAUGACUGGUUGUUUCUGAAGAAUCAGAGCAACAUGGACAGCCACCAAGGGACUUACCCGUUCUUUUCAAUAAGUUUUCCCUAGUGUUUAGGUUGUGAAUGAGUGCCAUCUGAAAGAAACACCUAACUUUUAGAGGGAUUUUGAGUUUCCAAACCAUAGGAGCAAGGUCCCAAUUGAUCCCCCUUGAGUUAAGAAAGCCAUAAAGGGAUGCAGUGGUCAAACAACCAGUGGCGGUAAGGGACCAUGAGAUAUCAUCUGAUUGGUUUGGAUUCAGCAGAACUCCAUGAAGGAGGCUAGACAAUUGCUGCAGUUCAGCUGCGGCCUUAGUCGAAAGAGAAGCGCCACAUUGGAAGUGCCAAGAAUUGGAUGUCAUUGAAGAAUUGAGCCACAUACCCGGAUUUGAGUCUAGAUGUCUGAUAGAGGCUGGGGAAUAAGGCCCUCAAAUGCAGAUCCGGGAUCCAUUUGUGCUUUCGAAAGAGUACUUUCAACCCAUUCCCCACAACAAAAGAAGACCUAUUCCAGAAUGGUUGCAAAGAGGAGAGCAUUGAGGAUAGCAGAGCAUUUGCUCUUUGGCUUCCAACAAUCAGCAAGUUUACACCUGUUAAAAUAGAAGCAAGAUAACAAUCUUUUCCAAGGGGCCCGAUCAUCCUUGAGGUAUCUCCAUCCCCAUUGCUAAUAGAGCAGUAUUAAAGUCCUCGAUGUCUUCAACACUAAGCCCACCUUUAGUUUUUGCAAGGCAACAUUUUUUCCAAUUAACUUUGCAGUUCAAACCAUCUACCUUUUCAGUCCCUUUCCCAAGAAAGGCCCUCCGUAGGCCAUCAAUUCUUUUGACUAUCCUUAUAGGUAGUUUGAAGAGAGACAUAUAGAAAAGCGGCAUAGUAGAGAGGACUGCAUUUACUAAGACUAGGCUACCCCCAAAUGAUAAGAACUUUCCUUUCCAACCAGUUAGUCUAGAUUCCAUCUUGUGGAUGAGGGGCAUCCAAUCACCUCUCUUGAGUUUACCGGCAUUAAGAGGAGGUCCAAGGUACCUAAUGUGCAAGGAGGAGUGAGGACGGUUCAGCGAAGCUGCACACUGCAAUGGUUGAGGGGCAUCCAGAGCAAUGGGCAGCACAAAGCUUUUUUGGAAGUUAAUAGAGAGACCGGAUAUAGCUUCAGAGCCAUAAAGGAUGAUGUUCAAAGAAGAGAUGCAGUUCUUAUCAAUCGUUGGAGAAAAUGAUAGUCAUGUCAGCAAACUGAAGAAUUUUUGAACCACCACUAACAACGGAUUGCCCAGUCCUUGAAAUAAACCAGAAAAAUGCAACUUCUUACUUACUUUGCUUCUUUGUUUUUUUCUAUUUGCACUUCGGGACAGUACUGUUUUUAUUUAUUUAUUUUCUUUCUUUCUAAUUUCAAGAAGGAUCCAAUUCUAAGAACGUUGGAUGCUUUUGCCCCUGGACAAGUGGAUACAGUUGAAUUGCAUGUUUUAGUAGAGCUGGAUGCACGUAGUUUUUAUAGCAGAGUUGGAUGCACGCAGUUUUCAUAUUGAAUGGAGCUAUUUGUGGGGCUUGAAAUACCCAUUUAUGAGCUGUAGUAUUACCUGUGGGUUAGGGGCAUCCAUCAUUUGCGGGAGAAAAAAAAAAAAGUGGUCUGAAUUUGCAAAAACAGGAACAAAGUGGAUUGCUUCCGCAAGAUUCCUGAGAAUAUACAGAACAGACAAUACUCGGCUCUGCUCGUAAAUGUACUGAGCAAGCAGGCCAAAAAAUAUCAAGCCCAAUGCUGCAACUUUCCUCCAUUCCACCUCAGGAGUAGCGAGCACAGCAUUUCCUAUUGUGACGAGUAGCAAUGACAUGAGGGCAAGGUGCCUUUUCCCGCAGGUUCUUGAAGAACAGGCCUUCAUUUCGGUCCCGCUCGAUCUUGUCCUCAAAGUCCUCCAAGAUCCUCUCGUUCUUUUCAAUCUCCUGUUUGCUAAUUUCUGCGGUUUCUUCAAAAGCCUGCAUCCGAUUCUCCAGGUUCUCCAUGAUCUGCUACAUCAGAAAAAAUCACUGUUAUUUGGAGGAGGGAUAGCAGAUGCUGUCAUGCACUUCGAAUGCAAGAAAAAAAAAAAAAGCUUCGUAUUAAGUUACAAGCAGACCCUGGAACUGGCUUCAUCAAGUUCUUUCAGUGCAUUCUCUCCGAUUUUGUCGAACUCGGCAGUGGCAUCCUCAGCGAACUGAGUCAGAUAUGCAGAACGCUCAUCGAGGAAGUCGGUGAGGCGAACCUUUUGGGCUU